AGAGNUUUGAUCCUGGCUCAGAACGAACGCUGGCGGCGUGCCUGAGACAUGCAAGUCGUGGGAGAAAGUCGUAGCAAUACGGCAAGUAAACCGGCGCACGGGUGAGUAACACGUGGAUAACCUGCCUUAGAGUCUGGGAUAACCCGUCGAAAGACGAGCUAAUACCGGAUAAGACCACGGGAAGUUCGCUUCCUGAGGUAAAAGAUGGCCUCUGCUCCUGCAAGCUAUCACUUUGAGAGGGGUCCGCGUCCUAUCAGCUAGUUGGCGAGGUAACGGCUCACCAAGGCUAAGACGGGUAGCUGGUCUGAGAGGAUGGUCAGCCACACUGGGACUGAGACACGGCCCAGAGUCCUACGGGAUGCAGCAGUCAGGAAUAUUGCGCAAUGGAGGAAACUCUGACGCAGCGACGCCGCGUGGGUGAUGAAGGCCUUCGGGUCGUAA
rnacentral:rRNA from 1 species